GCUAACUUGGGUGCAGGAGCCUAGGUAAAACGAAGGAGUGUAGCCGGAGCCGGAUUUAUUGGGGUUUAAGGGUUCGUAGGCGGCCUUAUAAGUCAGGGGGGAAAUCCUAUCGCGUAACGAUAGACGUGCCAUUGAUACUGUAGGGCUUGAGUACAGAUGCCGUUGGCGGAAUGUGUCAUGUAGCGGUGAAAUGCAUAGAUAUGACACAGAACACCGAUUGCGAAGGCAGCUGACGAAACUGUAACUGACGCUGAUGCACGAAAGCGAGGGGAUCAAACAGGAUUAGAUACCCCUGUAGUC
rnacentral:rRNA from 1 species